GCUGGAAUCGCUAGUAAUCGCGGAUCAGAAUGCCGCGGUGAAUACGUUCCCGGGUCUUGUACACACCGCCCGUCACACCAUGGGAGUCGGAAAUGCCCGAAGUCUGUGACCCAACCUCAGGGAGGGAGCAGCCGAAGGCAGGUCGGAUGACUGGGGUGAAGUCGUAACAAGGUAUC
rnacentral:rRNA from 1 species